rnacentral:tRNA from 1 species
AAAUAAGAAGCAAAUUUUGCAUUUAGUUUCGACCUAAAACCUUGAUUAUAAAUAUCCUUAUUUU